CGGUUCAGUGUGUUUAGGCUCAAUCUCUUCUCUUCUUUUCAGCAGCGGAGUCCAAAAAGAUUUUAACGAGCUCGAGCAGCAGCAGCUGUCUUCAUGAUUCGGACGAAACACUGCUGGAGAUUGUUUUCAGCGUGCACGAGUGAAAGUCAAUGGGGUCCAAUGAUGUUUCUGUGAGAAAAGAAAUGCACACUGGACUGGAACAACAACG